UAAAGUGGUCAGGGUUGUGGCAUUGGCUGGCUGAGUUGGUAUAUAACAGAGUGCAGCCGCCACUUGGAACACAUCCUCUGCUGUUAACCUCCCAGCACACAACCAUCUGAGACAAUGACUCCCAACUGGCGCUUCCUCCUGCUGGCGGUGCUCCUGCUGGCGGUGACCCUCGCCAUGGCCGCCCCAGAGCCCCUGUACGGACGCCGACGCCCGAGCACAUUCCUGCAGGGAUCAUUCCACGGUCAUCGCGGGGGUCAUUAUUACAACAGUCCAGAGGUGUACGGAUACGGUCACGGUUAUAACAGCCCAGAGUACUAUGGACGUGGAUACUAUGGCUAAAUUAUCGAGAUUUCUGCCGCUCUUUACUGUUGCUGUGGUGUGACGUCAUACAGUAGUGUGACGUCAUGCUAUAGUGUGAUGUCAAGCAGUAGUGUGACGUGCAGUAGCUCACUCUUAUAAUUUGGCAAAACAAUAAUUUCUUUCAUUGUUCACAUACUGUAACUGGUGACUUCAACAACCCUCAACAUGUAAAUUAUUCCUUUUUGUGUUACGUCACAAAGAUUUUGGUCAAAAUGGCGUCAAAAUUCAACAUUGACUUUACGUGGGUUGUCGACAUAAUCUGUUAAGGUAGAAUAAGCUAAUGCAAGUUAUUAUCCAGAGUCUUCCAAUCUUCUGUCGCUAAAAUAACAACAAUAUUGGAAUAAAAUCUUGUCAAAAUACAA
rnacentral:lncRNA from 1 species